ACCGGCGGCGACCUCAGCCUGGCGGAAAGCUCCUUGCCUGGAACGCAGAGGGCCUUCGCUGCUGCGGCCCCUGGGGACUCCUUCGCGACGGCUUCCCGGGGAGGGGGCUGAGGCCUGGCAGCGAGGACCCUGACACCCCUUCGGGAGAGGAGUGGCUGCUAGGCCGCUCGCUUGCUCCUGGAAAGAUUUGGGGUUUGAGAGCUCUUGGCCAGGAGGCUCGCGCUGGCCGAGGCCCGAGAGCUGUCCCCGCGGGACGGGACUAGCGAGGGCCGGGGAGAUGGAGCGCAGGCGGCGUCUGGGUUCGAAGCACUUUCCGGCUGAACCACCUGCUGCUGAGGCUGAGCCCUGAGAGGCGGUUCGUGGCCCCCAAACCGGGGAAGGGGCGAAGCUUUGGGCAUCUGUCCCAUGCAAGGGUCCCAACAUCUGAAUCUCACCUCACUCGUCUCCCACCUGUCACGAAUGGCCAGCGCCAAAGUGAUAAAUAUGUAAUAGGAAUGUCUUCCCGAGGCUGUGCUGGAGACUUCCCUGGCCGCACAGUGACCGUUCAGAGCCCACGAUAAGCAAGCCGAAACCCGGUUUGGCGCAGAGGCGCGCAAGGAGAGAGGUCUGUCCUUUGACUCUGUGAGUUGGGCAGCCUAACAUGGUUAUUGUUAAUUGACGGUAAAGUAUCUCGAGGUCCGUUA
ensembl:lncRNA novel transcript